UACGUAGGGGGCAAGCGUUAAUCGGAAUUACUGGGCGUAAAGCGUGCGCAGGCGGCUUUGCAAGACAGGUGUGAAAUCCCCGGGCUUAACCUGGGAACUGCAUUUGUGACUGCAUGGCUAGAGUGCGGCAGAGGGGGAUGGAAUUCCGCGUGUAGCAGUGAAAUGCGUAGAUAUGCGGAGGAACACCGAUGGCGAAGGCAAUCCCCUGGGCCUGCACUGACGCUCAUGCACGAAAGCGUGGGGAGCAAACAGG
rnacentral:rRNA from 1 species